rnacentral:rRNA from 1 species
GGGGGGGGGGGGGGGGGGGGGGAGGGGGUGCGGGGCGGGCGGGGGGUGGGGGGUCCGGUGGCGGGGGGGUGAGUGGCGCGUAGGCAGCGGGCCUGGGGAGGGGAACAGCAACUGGGAACGGUUGCUAAUACGCCGUAGGCUGAGGGGCAACGUUAGCAAUCAGCCCGCGGAGGGGCUAGCGUCUGGUUAGCUCGUGGGGGGGGUGAUAGCUUACCAAGUCGAUGCUCCGUAGCUGGUCCGAGAGGAUGAUCAGCAACACUGGGACUGAGACCCGGCCCCGACUCCUACGGGAGGCAGCAGGGGGGAAUGUUCCGCAAUGGGAGAAAGCCGGACGGAGCAAUGCCGCGUGGAGGUAGAAGGCCCACGGGUCGUGAACUUCUUUUCUCGGAGAAGAAACAAUGACGGUAGCUGAGGAAUAAGCAUCGGCUAACCCUGUG